rnacentral:rRNA from 1 species
AGGACGAACGCUUGCGGCGUACCUAAGAAAUGCAAGUCGAGCGGGGGCAGCAAUGCCCUAGCGGCGAACGGUCGCGUAACACGUAGGCAACCUGCCCGAAAGACCGGGACAACGUUCCGAAAGGGGCGCUAAUACCGGAUGUGGCCGGAGGGAGACAUCUUCCUCCGUCUAAAUCAUUCAUGGCUUUCGGAGGGGCCUGCGGCCUAUCAGCUAGAUGGCGGGGUAACGGCUCACCAUGGCGACGACGGGUAGCUGGUCUGAGAGGAUGGUCAGCCGGACUGGGACUGAGAUACGGCCCAGACUCCUACGGGGGGCAGCAAUUAGGAAUCUUGCGCAAUGGGGGAAACCCUGACGCAGCGACGCCGCGUGGAGGAGGAAGGCCUUCGGGUUGUAAACUCCUUUGACCGGAAGAAAAAUGACGGUACGGUGGAAUAAGCCCGGCUAACUCCGUGCCAGCAGCCGC